rnacentral:rRNA from 1 species
UUCCGGUUGAUCCUGCCAGAGGCUACUGCUAUCAGAGUUUGAUUAAGCCAUGUUAGUCGAGGGUAUCUCUUCUUCCUCGGAGGAAGAGGUAACCGGCGGACGGCUCAGUAACACGUAGACAACUUACCCUUGGGACCGGGAUAACCCCUUGGGAAACUGGGGCUAAUACCGGAUAGUGCAUCGAUCGCUGGAAUGCACGAUGUACGAAAGCUGAGGCGCCCAAGGAUAGGUCUGUGGCCGAUUAGGUUGUUGUUGAUGUAACGGAUCAACAAGCCUACGAUCGGUACGGGUUGUGAGAGCAAUAGCCCGGAGAUGGGUUCUGAGAGAAGAACCCAGGUCCUACGGGACGCAUCAGGCGCGAAAACUUUACAAUGUGCGAAAGCACGAUAAGGGAACUCUGAGUGCCUCCUAAGGAGGCUGUUCAGAUGUUUAAAAAGCAUCUGGAGGAAGGGCUGGGCAAGACCGGUGCCAGCCGCCGCGGUAACACCGGCAGCCCAAGUGGUAGUCAUGCUUACUGGGUCUAAAGCGUCCGUAGCCGGCCAGGUAAGUUCCUUGGGAAAUUUGAUCGCUUAACGAUUAAGCUACCUGGGAAUACUACCUGGCUUGGGACCGGGAGAGGUCAGAGGUACCUCAAGGGUAGGGGUGAAAUCCGUUAAUCCUUGGGGGACCACCGGUAGCGAAGGCGUCUGACCAGACCGGAUCCGACGGUGAGGGACGAAGGCUAGGGGAGCGAAGCGGAUUAGAUACCCGCGUAGUCCUAGCUGUAAACGAUGCGGGCUAGGUGUUGGCAUUACUGCGAGUGAUGCCAGUGCCGAAGGGAAGCCGUUAAGCCCGCCAUCUGGGGAGUACGGUCGCAAGGCUGAAACUUAAAGGAAUUGGCGGGGGAGCAC